CUACGGGGGGCAGCAGUGGGGAAUAUUGCACAAUGGAGGAAACUCUGAUGCAGCAACGCCGCGUGGAGGAUGACACAUUUCGGUGCGUAAACUCCUUUUAUGUGAGAAGAUAAUGACGGUAUCACAUGAAUAAGCACCGGCUAACUCCGUGCCAGCAGCCGCGGUAAUACGGAGGGUGCAAGCGUUACUCGGAAUCACUGGGCGUAAAGCGCGCGCAGGCGGCUUUUCAAGUUGGAUGUGAAAUCCUAUGGCUUAACCAUAGAACUGCAUCCAAGACUGUUAAGCUAGAGUCUGGGAGGGGAAGAUGGAAUUAGUUGUGUAGGGGUAAAAUCCGUAGAGAUAACUAGGAAUACCAAAAGCGAAGGCGAUCUUCUGGAACAGUACUGACGCUGAGGCGCGAAAGCGUGGGGAGCAAACAGGAUUAGAUACCCGUGUAGUC
rnacentral:rRNA from 1 species